GGGGCUGACAAGCUUCGACAAAAGUUCUUUCAUAAAUGAUGGCAAGCGAGAGUUGCCGCAAUCUCUCCAAAAACUUUCGGCAAACUACAAAUGCUAACACAUUUGCUUCCAAAGUAAAGAACGCUUUUGCGUCACUGGCUUUGGUACCUGCUGUUGCUUAAUUAGCGGCAGCGGUCAGACUCGCGACACCGAUAGCGAGCGCGACCUAUCAUUAUCGGUUAGAUUACCAAAGCCACCGCGACUUUGGUUGAUCAAAACUAUCUCGCGGUCCGCCUCGGCGUAUUUUGUAAAUUUUGAGCGCUGGGGUUAAAUAUUAAAAUUUACUAAGCUUGUAGAAAUCGUUUGUGUCUGCUUUUGGACGCGGGUGCAACUCCCGCCAGCUCCAUUG
rnacentral:tmRNA from 1 species